UACGUAGGGUGCAAGCGUUAAUCGGAAUUACUGGGCGUAAAGCGUGCGCAGGCGGUUUUGCAAGUCAGAUGUGAAAUCCCCGGGCUCAACCUGGGAACUGCAUUUGUGACUGCACGGCUAGAGUGUGUCAGAGGGGGGUAGAAUUCCACGUGUAGCAGUGAAAUGCGUAGAUAUGUGGAGGAAUACCGAUGGCGAAGGCAGCCCCCUGGGAUGACACUGACGCUCAUGCACGAAAGCGUGGGGAGCAAACAGG
rnacentral:rRNA from 1 species